CCUCCUUUAAAGAAACCGGAAUAAGGCGUGAAAGCGCCCGCACAAUUUGCCUAAUCAUCGUUAAGACAACCGCGGGCCUGUAGCUCAGUUGGUUAGAGCGCACCCCUGAUAAGGGUGAGGUCGGAAGUUCAAAUCUUCCCAGACCCACCACCUUCGCGCGUGUAGAAGCGAUGAGGGAACAAGGGGGCCAUAGCUCAGAUGGGAGAGCACCUGCUUUGCAAGCAGGGGGUCGGCGGUUCGAUCCCGCCUGGCUCCACCAGGGCUUAAAAAA
rnacentral:tRNA from 1 species